AACCGAUGCGGCGCAAUCGUAGUGCGAAUGCCUGCGAAGCAGAAGGUUUCGGGUUCGAUUCCCGGUGGGUUA